AGUAACUAAAAAUUGGCCUUUUUUUGUCUGUAGGUAUUAAAUUGUAGCACAUUAAAGUUUUCCAAAAUUUUUCUAAUAUUGUGUUGUUAAGCAAUUUUGAGAUACAAUAACACAAAAACUAUUUAAAAUUAGUCAAAAAUACUUGAAAAUAUAGAUUUUAUAAGUAUAAAAAUGAAUAUAAAAUUUCAGGUAAUCACUUUUUAUUGAAAAAGUUAUGAUCUGUCAAAAAUCAAAAAUAUACUAAAAUUUUCAUGGUUUAUCCAAUCAAGGUGAUAUGUUUAGGAUUUUAUUUUUUCCAUAAAUCUGUGGGUGUGGAGAGAGUAAAACACUCUCCCAUCUUCAUGAUUUUCUGAUUCAUACAACUUUUUAAGUUUACUAAUCGUUUCCUUGUUCUUUAACUCUUUAACUCUGUUAUAAUUUUUUUUAGUAACUUCUAACUUAAUAUUGGUUGCUUGAAGCCUUGAUAGUAGUAAAUUAAAAAGAUUUGUGUCCUGUCAAUUUUUAGCAUGCAUUUUUUCCUUCAUUGAGAUUAGUUGCUUUUAUAUAGAUGCUAAUUAAAUCAGCUAUAAUUAGGUGGAAAUAUAUAGUUAUAUAAUAAUAAAAAAUUUAUUGAUUUAUUUUUCUUUAAAGUAGUUUUUGUUGAUUUAUUUUGUAAUUUUGUUUUUAUUGAUUUUUAACAAAGAAAUUUUAAAAUUAUUUUGCUUUUAGAAAAUUCUAUACUAAAUAAAUAAUAAGUAUAGAAUUCCAGUCAGAUCCAGUUCAUGUUGCAGCUAGUGAUGUUUCAUUGGAUCAUCAUUUUGCUAUGAAUUAAAUUAUUGUGGAUGGUAAACGAUUUUAUGCCUCUUUGCUCUUUAUGGUAUUGAAUCAGGCACUGAAUUGCACUAUGAUUAUCAUGAUAAUAAAAGUGUAUGGUGGAGAAAGCAGACAUUUGAAAUCGAAUCUUAAAUAUGUUGAAUGCUGGUAAGAAUGGUCAAGAAUCUUCCCUAUUAUCAAUGAAGAAAAGAAUUAUAUAAAUUUUUUAACUGCUUCAAGCUGGAAUUUGAGCAAAAAUUUGGGAACCCAUCUGCUAUAUUAGUGUCAAAAUAGGCCUGUUUAGGCCCUGAAUAUGUCAUAAAGAGGGUUUAACUUCUUGUAAAACUAAACUAUAUAUAUACAUAAAUAAAAUUUAUAAAAUGAUAUUACUUAAUAAUCUCUGGGAUCUUUAUUUAUGAUAUACUUUAUCUAAAUAUAACAAAUAACAACUGAAAUAUUUUGAGUUUUUCUUACAGGUUGCUAACCAGAAACCUGUUAUACUUUCUGUUAUUUUAUCUAAAAAUUUAUUUUUUAAAUCAAGUUUUUUAGAAUUUAAUCUGUUUUAUUAAACAAUAUUGCAGUGCUUAA
rnacentral:lncRNA from 1 species